CCUUCGGGAGGCUGCAGUGGGGAAUAUUGGACAAUGGGGGGAACCCUGAUCCAGCCAUGCCGCGUGUGUGAAGAAGGCCCUCGGGUUGUAAAGCACUUUCAGUGAGGAAGAACGCCUGGUGGUUAAUACCCAUCAGGAAAGACAUCACUCACAGAAGAAGCACCGGCUAACUCCGUGCCAGCAGCCGCGGUAAUACGGAGGGUGCGAGCGUUAAUCGGAAUUACUGGGCGUAAAGCGCGCGUAGGUGGCUUGAUAAGCCGGUUGUGAAAGCCCCGGGCUCAACCUGGGAACGGCAUCCGGAACUGUCAAGCUAGAGUGCAGGAGAGGAAGGUAGAAUUCCCGGUGUAGCGGUGAAAUGCGUAGAGAUCGGGAGGAAUACCAGUGGCGAAGGCGGCCUUCUGGACUGACACUGACACUGAGGUGCGAAAGCGUGGGUAGCAAACAGGAUUAGAUACCCUGGUAGUC
rnacentral:rRNA from 1 species